CAGUAGCCGCGGUAAUACGAAGGGUGCAAGCGUUAAUCGGAAUUACUGGGCGUAAAGCGUGCGCAGGCGGUUGUGUAAGACAGGUGUGAAAUCCCCGGGCUUAACCUGGGAACUGCGCUUGUGACUGCACAGCUAGAGUAUGGCAGAGGGGGGUGGAAUUCCACGUGUAGCGGUGAAAUGCGUAGAGAUGUGGAGGAACACCGAUGGCGAAGGCGACUAUCUGGGCCAACACUGACACUGAGGCACGAAAGCGUGGGGAGCAAACAGGAUUAGAUACCCCGGUAGUCUCUGUCUCUUAUAC
rnacentral:rRNA from 1 species